rnacentral:rRNA from 1 species
UGAGGAAUAUUGGUCAAUGGGCGAUAGCCUGAACCAGCCAAGUCGCGUGAGGGAAGACGGCCCUAUGGGUUGUAAACCUCUUUUGUCGGGGAGCAAGGUCGCUACGUGUAGCGAUUUGAGAGUACCCGAAGAAAAAGCAUCGGCUAACUCCGUGCCAGCAGCCGCGGUAAUACGGAGGAUGCGAGCGUUAUCCGGAUUUAUUGGGUUUAAAGGGUGCGUAGGCGGGAGAUCAAGUCAGCGGUAAAAAUGCGGGGCCCAACCCCGUCGAGCCGUUGAAACUGGUUUUCUUGAGUGGGCGAGAGG